UUCCAAAGGAACGUUGACCGCCAUAUGUCACGUUCUAAUUGGACAACGAAAAUAUAUUGUUGUUGUCAGUGUCCAAUCAGAACGUGAUACGUGGUAGUCAAUGUUC
rfam:Glycine max cultivar Williams 82 chromosome 18, whole genome shotgun sequence.